rnacentral:tRNA from 1 species
AAACUUUUAGUUUAAGGUAGAAUUUUUCAUUUACGAUGAGAAGGUUAGAAGGUUUU